AUUGAACGCUGGCGGAAUGCUUUACACAUGCAAAUCGAACGGCAGCACGGGAGCUUGCUCCUGGUGGCGAGUGGCGAACGGGUGAGUAACGCGUCGGAACGUACCGAGUAAUGGGGGAUAACGCAGCGAAAGCUGUGCUAAUACCGCAUACGCCCUGAGGGGGAAAGUGGGGGAUCGCAAGACCUCACGUUAUUCGAGCGGCCGACGUCUGAUUAGCUUGUUGGUGGGGUAAUGGCCUACCAAGGCGACGAUCAGUAGCGGGUCUGAGAGGAUGAUCCGCCACACUGGAACUGAGACGCGGUCCAGACUCCUACGGGAGGCAGCAGUGAGGAAUUUUGGACAAUGGGGGCAACCCUGAUCCAGCCAUUCCGCGUGAGUGAAGAAGGCCUUCGGGUUGUAAAGCUCUUUCAGCUGGAACGAAACGGUACAUCCUAAUACGGUGUGCUAAUGACGGUACCAGCAGAAGAAGCACCGGCUAACUACGUGCCAGCAGCCGCGGUAAUACGUAGGGUGCGAGCGUUAAUCGGAAUUACUGGGCGUAAAGCGUGCGCAGGCGGAUUGUUAAGCAAGAUGUGAAAUCCCCGGGCUUAACCUGGGAAUGGCAUUUUGAACUGGCAGUCUAGAGUGUGUCAGAGGGGGGUGGAAUUCCACGUGUAGCAGUGAAAUGCGUAGAGAUGUGGAGGAACACCAAUGGCGANGGCAGCCCCCUGGGAUAACACUGACGCUCAUGUACGAAAGCGUGGGUAGCAAACAGGAUUAGAUACCCUGGUAGUCCACGCCCUAAACGAUGUCAACUGGUUGUUGGGGGAGUGAAAUCCCUUAGUAACGAAGCUAACGCGUGAAGUUGACCGCCUGGGGAGUACGGUCGCAAGAUUAAAACUCAAAGGAAUUGACGGGGACCCGCACAAGCGGUGGAUGAUGUGGAUUAAUUCGAUGCAACGCGAAAAACCUUACCUACCCUUGACAUGUGACUCGCCGGCUCCAGAGAUGGAGCCUUCGGUUCGGCCGGAGUCAGCACAGGUGCUGCAUGGCUGUCGUCAGCUCGUGUCGUGAGAUGUUGGGUUAAGUCCCGCAACGAGCGCAACCCUCGUCUCCAGUUGCCAUCAGGUUAUGCUGGGCACUUUGGAGAAACUGCCGGUGACAAGCCGGAGGAAGGUGGGGAUGACGUCAAGUCCUCAUGGCCCUUACGGGCUGGGCUACACACGUGCUACAAUGGCGGUGACAGUGGGAUGCGAAGGGGCGACCCGGAGCCGAUCCCCAAAAGCCGUCCCAGUUCGGAUUGCACUCUGCAACUCGAGUGCAUGAAGUUGGAAUCGCUAGUAAUCGCGGAUCAGCAUGCCGCGGUGAAUACGUUCCCGGGCCU
rnacentral:rRNA from 1 species